AUCGAACGCUGGCGGCAGGCCUAACACAUGCAAGUCGAGCGGAGCGGCGGACGGGUGAGUAAUGCCUAGGAAUCUGCCUGGUAGUGGGGGAUAACGUCAGGAAACGGGCGCUAAUACCGCAUACUAUCAGAUGAGUCUAGGUUGGAUUAGCUAGUUGGUGAGGUAAAGGCCUACCAAGGCGACGAUCCGGAACUGGUCUGAGAGGAUGAUCAGUCACACUAGAACUGAGACACGGUCCAGACUCCUACGGGAGGCAGCAGUGGGUAAUAUUGGACAAUGGGCGAAAGCCUGCUCCAGCCAUGCCGCGUGUGUGAAGAAGGUCUUCGGAUUGUAAAGCACUUUUAGUUGGGAGGCGUUACCAACAGAAGAAGCACCGGCUAACUUCGUGCCAGCAGCCGCGGUAAUUC
rnacentral:rRNA from 1 species